rnacentral:rRNA from 1 species
UCCGAAGGGGGCUAGCGUUGCUCGGAAUUACUGGGCGUAAAGGGAGCGUAGGCGGACAGUUUAGUCAGAGGUGAAAUCCCGGGGCUCAACCUCGGAACUGCCUUUGAUACUGGCUGUCUUGAGUAUGGGAGAGGUGUGUGGAACUCCGAGUGUAGAGGUGAAAUUCGUAGAUAUUCGGAAGAACACCAGUGGCGAAGGCGACACACUGGCCCAUUACUGACGCUGAGGCUCGAAAGCGUGGGGAGCAAACAGG